rnacentral:rRNA from 1 species
UACGGGGGGGGCAAGCGUUGUUCGGAAUUACUGGGUGUAAAGGGCUCGUAGGCGGCCAACUAAGUCAUACGUGAAAUCCCUCGGCUUAACCGGGGAACUGCGUCUGAUACUGGAUGGCUUGAGUUCGGGAGAGGGAUGCGGAAUUCCAGGUGUAGCGGUGAAAUGCGUAGAUAUCUGGAGGAAUACCGGUGGCGAAGGCGGCAUCCUGGACCAAUACUGACGCUGAGGCGCGAAAGCUAGGGGAGCAAACGGG